GGGUUUGACAUGUACACGAGCGNCGUGCCAUUGCCGGCUUUCCUUCGGGNCCUCUUCACAGAUGCUGCAUGGCUGUCGUCAGCUCGUGCCGUGAGGUGUUGGNUUAACUNCAGCUAACGAGCGCAACCCUUGUCGUUCGNUGCAUCCUUUCUAGCGAGACUGCCCGGAGCAACCGGGAGGAAGGCGGGGAUGACGUCAAGUCUGCAUGGCUCUUACACCCUGGGCUACUCGCACGCUACAAUGGGCAGUACGGACCGUCGCGAAACCGCGAGGUGAAGCCAAUCGGAUAAAGCUGUCCCCAGUUCGGAUUGCAGGCUGAAACUCGCCUGCAUGAAGCCGGAGUUGCUAGUAACCGCAGGUCAGCCAUACUGCGUGAAUACGUUCCCGGNCCUUG
rnacentral:rRNA from 1 species